UCAUCCCAACUCUCCCGGCUCUUGGGAUCCUAAACCCUCAUGGACUCUGCCUACCUAGAAGGCAUCUCGUUUUCAAGACCCCUCCAUGGACAUCUCUGCACAGAUGACUGUGAAAUUAUGCCUUCAGCAAGAUUUGUUUCUACUUUCUCCUAUGACGGAAGGUUUCCUCUUGAAUAUUUCUUUAUCACAAAUUCAACAGGUGAACCCCUCAGCGGAAGACACUCUCGCACAACUGGCCCACCCAAGUCAGCCAACUCUAAAUGCCUUCAAAAGAACAACUUGUGUGGACGAGCUUGUCAGCCAGCCCUGUACUGUGCCACCUGCCAGGGUGAGGGGUAGGCAGUGAACCCACAAAUGAGCCCCCAGCCUUUCAGCACGUGACCUGUUCCAAACUUGAGCCCAGAGUAAGCUUACAUAACUUGACAGAAGGGCCCGGGACAAAGUCUGUGAGCUCAGAAAGCUCUUCGACUGAAAAAGCCAACACGUAACUGGAGCAACCUCGUUACUUUGUGCAGAGUUCUCAAUGAUGAAAGCAUGCUGAUGUUUUUAUUCAUGCUCGCUGAUUUAAUCAAGGGGCUGGAAUUUUAUUUUCCUCACCAGCAGAGGAUGAGUGGGCGUCAUUGCAUCGAAGCCAGUUCCCCUCCGUCUACCAGGCUGACACCCAAACGUGUGGAGCCGCCUGCCAGAAACAGCAACAUCUAAUGGGGCCGCCGCCCCUCUCUUCCUUCAGGAGCCCAAGUACCGCGUGAUUCAGCCUCCGCUGGCUUCAGCCUCGACUGCACGGCGGCAGAGAAGGAGCGCCGUGAUUGCAGCAGCAGCUCAGUCACCCCGUCCUCAACUCUCAGAGGCGGCACUGACCCUGGGGACCACCCUCCACCCCCUGCAGGGAGGAAACAGGAAAGGAAGAAACGGAAAAAUGAUUCUGGCAACGGCCAAGGAUUCCUGAGUUUGAAGGCUGGCCUCCCACCUCUGCCUCAUCCCCUCCUCCAUGCUCAGGAAAAAAAAAAAGGGAAAAAUAGAAAUAAAAAAGCUCUAGUUGUCUCUAAUUGCUGCAGUUGGCUGAGCUUUCUCUCCCAUCAGCAGGAGAGUGCAUUUCCUCAUCCAUCACAACAUUCAGAUAGCCCGGCUCAUGCCCUACAAGUGUCAUUCUGUCCAGUGACAAACAGAUUUCAAUUGUCAUUUACCUGAGCUGCAUUUUAAAAUGGAACUCAAGGGACUGUGGAGGCAGAACCCCCCAGCUCCCCAGAUGUCGGCAACGAGCAGUGCUGGGGCGCUGCACGUAUGUCUCCCUUCCCGGGUAGUUUUGCAUCCUUUAGUUCCGGUUUGUGCUGCUUGCGGUGGGCUGCCGGGUCUGUUUUGAUCAGGAUAAAGUAAGCGGUGUUUGGGGACAUGAUAUCUGAUGGCUGAAGGGAGAGGCGGUGGCCGAGCUGCUCUGGCUGCUGACCACCAACCACACUUAACUGCUGAGAUGUCAGAACAUUCAAAACAGUGUUCCCUCCUGCUGACUCAGUCCUGGGUGUCACAUGUCUUCAAGGGCUGGUGAUGGCCGGGUCCCCUUCUAACUCACAUCCAAAGGCUUCAUCAUCCCAAAGUCAGAGCUGGCGCCAGCUCUGCCCAGGUUCGGGGGAGACGUUAGCCAACCUGUGGGAGCCACUACCUCCCCCAGCCGGACUCAGCACCCCCGAUCAGCAUGGGAAAUUCUUACACACGUAUCUACCUUGGACAGGUGAGCUGCAUUUUUUGAUCAUUUAUGCCCCAGGUGCUUUUUGACUUCUCAUACUGAAUGAGUACUACAUAUUACGUCUGACCAUCAUACAGCAGCUAAAACUGCACCAUUACAUCUUGCCCAUCUGCCACCGGGUCUAUAGUGCAGAUCCCAGCUCUCUCACUCAUUAGCUGUUUAACUGGUUGAAUCGCUUCACCACUCUGAGUCUCCAUUUCCCCACUAUAAAAACAAGGAAAGGGGCCCGUCUGGUGGCACAGUGGUUAAGUUCCUGCGCUCCCCUUCAGAGGCCCGGGUCAGCGGGUUCCAAUCCUGGCAUGGACCUACGCACCACUUAUUAAGCCAUGCUGUGGCAGCCGUCCCACAUAUAAAAAAUAGAGGAAGAUGGGCACAGAUGUUAGCUCAGGGCCAAUCUUCCUCAGCAAAAAGAGGAGGAUUGGUGGCAGAUGUUAGCUCAGGGCCGGUCUUCCUUGGAAAAAGAAAAACAACAAGGACAAUGGUCCCUCACUAAUCAGGGUUUUGGGACGCGAAAGGAGAAGAGGUAUCUGAAAACAUCCCCCCGGUGUCCAGGAUACGGAAGGCACUCACGUUAGUCCCUUCCUGCCUGCCAGUCCACAACCAUGCCACAGACCCGUGGUAAUCUGAGAAAAGAAGGUUAUUGCACCAGACUGUAUUCCCGGUUCAGGAGACAAACAACAAACAAACAAAACAACCUUACCUCCAAAGAAAAUAGACAAUAAAAUAGACAACAGAUUAUUGCCAUAAUUUAAUUCUACUUAGUAUGAGUAUAGUUUUUAUGAUAUUUGAUGUAGUAAUUAUUAUUGAACCUGUGAGGUUGUAGAUAAUCAGGUGUAUGAUGAUCUAAACCGUAUCGUGGUUAAAAUAGACGACGACUUUGGUAAGCUAUUCCACUGGUGGCUAUGAUGACAUUGUACCUACCAAGAUCUUAAAAUCUUUGUUUCCUUUCUUGCACGUUUCUCUCAAG
rnacentral:lncRNA from 1 species